ACGAACGCUGGCGGCGUGCUUAACACAUGCCAGUCGAACGGUGAAGCGCCUUCCUUUUUGGUGGGUGUGGAUGAGUGGCGAACGGGUGAGUAACACGUGAGUAACCUGCCCCCUUCUUCUGGAUAACCGCAUGAAAGUGUGGCUAAUACGGGAUAUUCUGGGUCUGUCGCAUGAUGGGUCUGGGAAAGAUAUUGUUUCGGUGGGGGAUGGGCUCGCGGCCUAUCAGCUUGUUGGUGGGGUGAUGGCCUACCAAGGCGGUGACGGGUAGCCGGCCUGAGAGGGUGGACGGUCACACUGGGACUGAGACACGGCCCAGACUCCUACGGGAGGCAGCAGUGGGGAAUAUUGCACAAUGGGCGCAAGCCUGAUGCAGCGACGCCGCGUGAGGGAUGGAGGCCUGCGGGUUGUGAACCUCUUUCGCCAGUGAAGCAGGCCUGCCUCGUUUGUGGGUGGGUUGACGGUAGCUGGAUAAGAAGCGCCGGCUAACUACGUG
rnacentral:rRNA from 1 species